rnacentral:rRNA from 1 species
AGCAGCCGCGGUAAUUCCAGCUCCGAUAGCGUAUAUUAAAGUUGUUGCAGUUAAAAAGCUCGUAGUUGAAUUUCGGGGUUAGCAGGUUGGUCGUGCCAAUGGUAUGUACUGGCCUUGCUGAUUCCUCCCUCUUGAUGAGCCGUAAUGCCAUUAAUUUGGUGUUGCGAGGAAUCAGGACUGUUACUUUGAAAAAAUUAGAGUGUUUAAAGCAGGCAAGCGCUUGAAUACAUUAGCAUGGAAUAAUGAAAUAGGACGUUUGAUCUUAUUUUGUUGGUUUCUAAGAUUGACGUAAUGAUUAAUAGGGAUAGUUGGGGGCAUUAGUAUUCAAUUGUCAGAGGUGAAAUUCUUGGAUUUAUUGAAGACUAACUACUGCGAAAGCAUUUGCCAAGGAUGUUUCAUUAAUCAAGAACGAAAGUUAGGGGAUCGAAGACGAUCAGAUACCGUCGUAGUCUUAACCAUAACUAUGCCGACUAGGAUCGGAUGAUGUUAAUUUUUAAUGUACUCAUU